rnacentral:rRNA from 1 species
GACGAACGCUGGCGGCGUGCCUAAUACAUGCAAGUCGAACGCAGUGGGGACGGGUGAGUAACACGUGGGUAACCUCCCAUCAGAGGGGAUAACACUAGGAAACAGGUGCUAAACCGAUACUGAUGGAUGGACCCGCGGUGCAUUAGCUAGUUGGGGGGGUAACGGCGCACCAAGGCCACGAUGCAUAGCCGACCUGGGAGGGUGAUCGGCCACACUGGAACUGAGAACCGGCCCAGACUCCUACGGGAGGAAGCAGUGGGGAAUUUUCGGCAAUGGACGAAAGUCUGACCGAGCAACGCCGCGUGAGUGAAGAAGGUUUUCGGAUCGUAAACCUCUGUUGUUAGGGAGGCGGUAUCUAACCAGAAAGCCACGGCUAACUACGUGCCAGCCGCCGCGGUAAUAC